rnacentral:lncRNA from 1 species
CUCCUGUCUAUCUACAGUAGGAACUGACUACUGACCCAAGUACCUUAUAACAAAAGGAUGUCCAGACUAUUUCAUUACUGGUUUUUCUGUACUUUGGUAGAGUCAUGCUCAUUUGUAUCCCAAUAAACAUGAUUUAUAAGUGAAAAUUGCUUUGAGAUAACUAGCUUUUCAACUCAUAAAUGAUCACUUUUCCAUUAUUGCACAUGGAAAUGAAAACAUUUGAAUCAUUGCAGAGAAGAGCCUCUAUGUCACUAUGGGGAUGUGACAGCAGUGAU